rnacentral:rRNA from 1 species
UGGGGAAUUUUGGACAAUGGGCGCAAGCCUGAUUCAGCAAUGCCGCGUGCAGGAUGAAGGCCUUCGGGUUGUAAACUGCUUUCGUACGGAACGAAACGGCUCUGGUUAAUACCUGGGGCUAAUGACGGUACCGUAAGAAUAAGCACCGGCUAACUACGUGCCAGCAGCCGCGGUAAUACGUAGGGUGCGAGCGUUAAUCGGAAUUACUGGGCGUAAAGCGUGCGCAUGCGGUGAUGUAAGACAGAUGUGAAAUCCCCGGGCUCAACCUGGGACCUGCAUUUGUGACUGCAUCGCUGGAGUGCGGCAGAGGGAGAUGGAAUUCCGCGUGUAGCAGUGAAAUGCGUAGAUAUGCAGAGGAACACCGAUGGCGAAGGCAAUCCCCUGGGCCUGCACUGACGCUCAUGCACGAAAGCGUGGGGAGCAAACA